rnacentral:ncRNA from 1 species
CAGGUGGACAGAUUUGACUGCUUGCAACCACGCUAAAAAAUGCUAAAAC